rnacentral:lncRNA from 1 species
UGCCAUACAUAUUGCUGUGCUCUGUACUAUGGCCCUCCGGCUCGAACAUCCUAUACAUUCCAGUUCGCAUCUACUCUACGCUUCGUUUUGCGUGGCCCCUCUGUUUGGUUCCCAUUUCUUUUAGAGUCAUUCUUCUGCCUCCCGUCUCCAAAUGAGUCCGACAUAACACUUCUAUAUGCUCCCAUGCUUUCCAUAUGACUAUUUUAUCUGUGUGUCCCAUGGUGCCUCCCCUACGACCAUUUCCCCCAACUUCCAAAGCCUCACGUCUCCAGUCCAGCGUCCUUUCGUGUUCCGUUUGGCCCCUCUGCCCUGAAUUCACCCAGGUUCCGAGUGAUCCCUCUGCUCCUCAUCCGGUCUAGUGUCCUGCCUGGCCCCUUUGCCCGGCAUCCCACCUCGCCCCGUGUCUCCCACGUGACGUCUGUCGUCUGGUACCCCAAAGCGUUCGACAGGACGCUUCAUCCUUUGCUGCCCGUCCCCUCAAGCUGAGUGAUCCGCUGUGAAUCCAAGUCCCCUUCAAAUGCGACCUUCCCGGCCCCCUGCGGUUCGCCUCCACUCUGGCCAAGGUGACGCGGUCCAGCAUCCUCAGGGACCUAGACCGCAGGCCGGCUCCCCGCGGGGCGGGGCCUCGGAGGCGGAAGUGCCCGGGGCGCUGGCGGCAGGUCCAUCCGAGCCAUGGGAGCUCCGGGCAGAGGCAGCGGCGGCGGCCGCAGAGGCGGCAGGGGCUGCCCAGGCGGGGGCGAGCGGCGCGGGACUCGGGAGGGGUAGCACGGGCCAAGCGUGGAGCCAUGGGCCGGGUUGGGGCCGGGAGCACAGCGCGGGUGGCAGCAGCCGGGUCACUGCUGCUACUGCUGCUGCUCCUGGCUCGGCCUCCGCCUGCCGCCGCCCGCAACAUCAAGGAGAGCGGUGAGCCCGCGGGCCUACCGCGCCAUCGGCGGCGCGGGCCGGGGGCAGGGGGCGGGCGGGGGGCGGGGCGGAUUGUGACUCACGGGGGGCACCUGUGCGCUCACCUGGCGCGGCGUUGAAACGAGGUUCUCAUCCUGGGUUGCGCCCCCUGCGGGGCAUCCGGACCAGAAAAACCCCCCAUGCCGCUUUUCUGUUCCGGGCCCGCCGAGUUCGCUC